rnacentral:rRNA from 1 species
AAUCAACGCUGGCGGCGUGCCUAACACAUGCAAGUCGAACGCGAAAGUCCCGCAAGGGAUCAGUAGAGUGGCAAACGGGUGAGUAACGCGUGGGUGACCUACCUCUGAGUGGGGGAUAACCUUCCGAAAGGAGGGCUAAUACCGCAUGACAUCCCAUGGUUGGAUACAUGGACAUCAAAGCCGGGGAUCGCAAGACCUGGCGCUUGGAGAGGGGCCCGCGUCCGAUUAGCUAGUUGGUGAGGUCACGGCUCACCAAGGCGACGAUCGGUAUCCGGCCUGAGAGGGCGGACGGACACACUGGGACUGAGACACGGCCCAGACUCCUACGGGAGGCAGCAGUGGGGAAUUGUUCGCAAUGGGCGCAAGCCUGACGACGCAACGCCGCGUGGAGGAUGAAGACCUUCGGGUCGUAAACUCCUUUCGACCGAGAUGAACGCCCGCCGACCUAACACGUCGGUGGGGUGACAGUAUCGAGGGAAGCAGCCCCGGCUAACUCCGUGC